AAAUUGAAGAGUUUGAUCAUGGCUCAGAUUGAACGCUGGCGGCAGGCCUAACACAUGCAAGUCGAACGGUAACAGGAAACAGCUUGCUGUUUCGCUGACGAGUGGCGGACGGGUGAGUAAUGUCUGGGAAACUGCCCGAUGGAGGGGGAUAACUACUGGAAACGGUAGCUAAUACCGCAUAACGUCGC
rnacentral:rRNA from 1 species